rnacentral:rRNA from 1 species
GAUGAACGCUGGCGGCGUGCCUAAUACAUGCAAGUCGAGCGGACUUUCAAGAAGCUUGCUUUUUUAAAGUUAGCGGCGGACGGGUGAGUAACACGUGGAUAACCUACCUAUAAGACGGGGAUAACUUCGGGAAACCGGAGCUAAUACCGGAUAAUAUCUUCCUCCGCAUGAAUCAAGGUUGAAAGACGGCUUUAGCUUCCCUUUUCGAUUGAUCCGGGCUGCAUUAGCUUGUUGGUAAGGUAACGGCUUACCAAGGCAACGAUCCCUUGCCGACCUGAGAGGGGGAUCGGCAACACGGGAACUGAGAAACGGUCCAGACUCCUACGGGAGGAAGAAGUAGGGAAUAUUCGGAAAGGGGCGAAAGCCGGAGGAAGAAAGGCCGCGUGGGUGAGGAAGGCUUUCGAAUGGAAAAACCUGUUGAUUGGGAAGGAAAAGAAGCGUAAGAAAAGGGCGAUGUCUUGACGGUACCUAACCAGAAAGCCACGGCUAACUACGUG